rnacentral:rRNA from 1 species
CCUACGGGAGGCAGCAGUGGGGAAUAUUGGGCAAUGGAGGCAACUCUGACGCAGCAACGCCGCGUGAGUGAUGAAGGUCUUCGGAUUGUAAAGUUCUGUGAUGGGGGAUGAACACAAUGACGAUACCCCAAUAGCAAGCCGCGUCUAACUACGUGCCAGCAGCCGCGGUAAUACGUAGGUGGCAAGCGUUAUCCGGAAUGACUGGGCGUAAGGGGUGCGUAGGUGGUUUAGCAAGUUGGCGGUGUAAUUCCGGGGCUCAACCUCGGCGCUACCGCAAAAACUGUUAGACUAGAGUGCAGGAGGGGUAAGUGGAAUUCCUAGUGUAGCGGUGGAAUGCGUAGAUAUUAGGAGGAACACCAGGGGCGAAGGCGACUUACUGGACUGUAACUGACACUGAGGCACGAAAGCGUGGGGAGCAAACAGGAUUAGAUACCCGAGUAGUC